GUGCCAGCCGCCGCGGUAAUACCGGCAGCCCGAGUGAUGGCCGAUCUUAUUGGGCCUAAAGCGUCCGUAGCUGGCCGCACAAGUCCGUCGGGAAAUCCGCCCGCUCAACGGGCGGCCGUCCGGCGGAACCUGUGUGGCUUGGAACCGGAAGGCUCAGAGAGUACGUCCGGGGUAGGAGUGAAAUCCUAUAAUCCCGCACGGACCACCGAUGGCGAAAGCACUUCGAGAAAACGGAUCCGACAGUGAGGGACGAAAGCCAGGGUCUCCAACCGGAUUAGAAACCCUGGUAGUCC
rnacentral:rRNA from 1 species